UCUGCGUGGUGCUGCCGCACAUGACU
rnacentral:piRNA from 1 species